CAAGUCGAACGCGAAAGCCCCGCAAGGGGCAAGUAGAGUGGCAAACGGGUGAGUAACACGUGGGUGACCUGCCUUCGAGUGGGGGAUAACAUCCCGAAAGGGAUGCUAAUACCGCAUGACAUCCUGCCUUUGAACAGGCGGAGAUCAAAGCUGGGGACCGCAAGACCUGGCGCUCAAAGAGGGGCCCGCGCCUGAUUAGCUAGUUGGUGGGGUAAUGGCUCACCAAGGCAUCGAUCAGUAUCCGGCCUGAGAGGGCGGACGGACACACUGGGACUGAGACACGGCCCAGACUCCUACGGGAGGCAGCAGUGGGGAAUUGUUCGCAAUGGGCGCAAGCCUGACGACGCAACGCCGCGUGGAGGAUGAAGACCUUCGGGUCGUAAACUCCUUUCGAUCGAGACGAAUGGCCUUCGGGUUAACAGCCCGGAGGAAUGACGGUACCGAGAGAAGAAGCCCCGGCUAACUCCGUGCCAGCAGCCGCGGUAAUACGGGGGGGGCAAGCGUUGUUCGGAAUUACUGGGCGUAAAGGGCUCGUAGGUGGCCAACUAAGUCAGACGUGAAAUCCCUCGGCUUAACCGGGGAACUGCGUCUGAUACUGGAUGGCUAGAGUUUGGGAGAGGGAUGCGGAAUUCCAGGUGUAGCGGUGAAAUGCGUAGAUAUCUGGAGGAACACCGGUGGCGAAGGCGGCAUCCUGGACCAACACUGACGCUGAGGAGCGAAAGCCAGGGGAGCAAACGGGAUUAGAUACCCCGGUAGUCCUGGCCCUAAACGACGAAUGCUUGGUGUGGCGGGUAUCGAUCCCUGCCGUGCCGAAGCUAACGCAUUAAGCAUUCCGCCUGGGGAGUACGGUC
rnacentral:rRNA from 1 species